GACUCCGCCCCGGCCAUGCCCCUCCUGCGGGUCUGUCUGCUGCCCAGGCCUCCGUCGGCGGCUUCAGCAGGGGCACGUGGUUCCCAGUUCCAUCCCACCCGUCGGGACGCAGGCGGGUCGGGCCGGGGGCUCUCCUGGGCCCGGGUCCCUGCCAUCUCCGGGCAAACCCUGAGCCCGCCGGGAGCCACGGAUGCGAGCGGCCUGCCCGGACGCCCCGGCACCCAGGAGCAAGGAGGAGGGGGACCGGCCUGGCGCUGCCUGUGGCGGGGGAGGGGUGGGGCCUGUGCCCCGAUGGAGGAGCGCGCGUCGUGCGGAGGUGCCCCGGGACGCCGCGUCUGGACUGUCGCCCCUGAGAAGCCUCGCUCCAGAGCUCUGGCAGGUGCUUCUGUGGCUGCGCCUCUGGUGGCCGGACGUCAGGCUGCCGACCCGCACCCCUGUGAGCUGGAGCCCACGACGCCGCCUGGGCCAUGGACUCGAAGGUCAGCAACGGCGCCAGCCCCCAGGACGAGCGCACCACAAGCCUGCUGGUGUUCGCCUUCCUCCAGAGCUGCCCGCGCUCCCGCUGCCACCAAGAGCUGGAGGUGCUGGGCCACGAGCUGCCCGUGCGCGCGGCCCACGACGAUGAGCUGCAGACGGAUGGCAACUGGUGCAGCCACUUCCGUGAGGGGGCGGCAGAGACAGACUCUGAGACUCAGGAGGAAGUGGUCCGGGACAUCGCCAGGCAGCUCGCCCAGAUUGGGGACAGGAUGGAGUGCAGCAUCCGCCCGGGGCUGGUGGCUGGCCUGGCCGCGCAGUUCAGGAACAGGAGCCUGUCGGAGGAGGACAGGAGGCGGUGCCUGGCGGCCGCGCUGGAACAACUCAUGCAGCUCUACCCUGCGGACGUGGACCACGAGAAGACCCUGCUCCUGCUGACCAUGCUCGUGGCCAAAAAGGUGGCCGACCACUCGCCAGCUUUGCUCCAAGAUGUCUUUCACACCACAGUGACCUUCAUCAACCAGAACCUUCUCGCCUACGUGAGGAACUUAGUCCAAAACGAGAUGGACUGAAGGGACGACUCAGCAAAAGCACGACUGGUUACAACUUGAGAUGGCGACAGCAGUGUAGCUGUCUCCACACAGAUGGAGCCUCUGCCACUUAAACAUGCUCAGAGAAGACAGGCACGAGAUGACAGCUGUGUAUCUCUCACCAUUUUAAAGGCAGGGACCAUUUAGGAAUUUCUUCAUGUACACAUGUGAAUGUUUCACAUCAUCUACAUCUAUCCACACACUGUGCCUUUACCUUAUGUCUGCUGGAAAGGUCCCCGCCUGAAAAUCAGAUCUAAAAGCAGAUCGUGAGUUCCCUGGUGGUCCAGUGGUUAGGACUCCUCUGUGCUUCCACUGCAGGGACCGGGUCUGAUCCCUGGUCGGGGAACUAAGAUCCGGGAUACAAGCUGCAGUCAAAAAAGAAAAAAAGAACAACAAAAUAAAAGCAGAUUGACAAAUAAAAGGCAGAAGAAAAAAAACACACUUCAUGUUUUUUUGUUUUUUAAAAAAACCCACUUGGGACUUUCCUGGCGGUCCAGUGGUUAAGACUCCGUGCUUCCACCGCAGGGGGCGCAGGUUUGAUCCCUGGUCAGAGAACUAAGAUCCUACAUACCGUGCAGCGCAGGAAGGAAAAAAAAAAAAAGUGCACCCUUGGUGGUGGUGGUGUUACCACAGGCAGUGCCGAGUGUGAGGGGACCAGGGAUUGGAGAGGGAAUGCAUGGACCUCUUACAAGUGAAAAAUUCCCCUCAAAACAGGGACACCUUCAUAGUAAGGAAGUGGUCUUUUUUUUUUUUUUUUUUAAGGUUUCAUAGGUUUAAUGCCGUGUGUGUUCACACACCAAAGCUAUUUCCACCAACACAGGAAAUCUCUCUCUCUCACCGUGUAUUUCCUCAAGGUCCAUCCCAAGAGCCUGGGCCAUUCCAGAUGCAGCUGGAAGAAGGCAGCGCCACCAGAUACCGGAGGGGUCCAAGGGGAUGGGUUUCAUUAAUCGUCCUUCUUGAACUUGCCGUUGAUGUAGAGCACCUGGUCCAGAAUCAGUCAGUGGCCCGUGCCAGCCCCACGGCUCCCAUGGCGCCCCGCAGGCCCACUGUGGGUGACCGGUUUCCGGCCAGCUGGCGGCAGCGAGGGCCCGUGAACCUGCUCAGCAUCGUGGCUCGUCCCGGCUCGGGGUGACCCCAGCCCCGCUGGCUCGGGCGCACUCAGUCUUCCUGUUUAAAAGCCAAGCAGCACAAGAGGUUCUGGACUCAGACAACAGGAAAAUCAGACCUCAAAAUGUGUCUGACUUUUUCACCGUGAUUUCCUUUUACUUGAGUCAGGAACCACAGGCAGUUAAAAGACGUGGAGGUGAUUUCAAGGCCUAUGUCAACCAGUUUCCAAAAUCAUGUAACUAAAUGCACCCUUUUCUCUUUCCAAGAAGUCAAGGUUUUGAUAAAAAUUUUAAGCUACUGCAUCCGUCCUGUGGGGAAUGUCUGUGAAGAAUCUUACACUUUCAUCUUCCAGCCAUGCCCCCAGCUCAUCUGCACCUAUGAAGCUGCUUAUGGAGAGAACAGUUUUCUAGGCAUACAAGAUGAAAGAACAGUUAGACUUAAGAAUUCAGCAUUUGUGGUGGCUCCCUUUUCUAGACACACAGUCAGUAUACAAGUAAUAACAGGGACUUCCCUGGUGGUCGAGUGGUUAAGAAUCUGCCUUCCAGUGCAGGGGAUGCAGGUUCGAUCCCUGGUUGGGGAACUAAGAUCCCACACGCCGCGGGGGAACUAAGACCCCGAUGCAGCCAAAAAUAAAUAAAUUUAAACAAAACAAAAAACUAUAGCCCAAUAAAAUUUGAAAAAAAAAAAAAGAAUAACAAAACGCAAUCACUUAGCACCAGAGUAAACUGGAGCACUUACUGUAGAAGCAACAAAGCCCGGUCUGUUCCCAGUGCUAAGCGUUUCCUAGGAUUGGUCUGCGUCCAAGUGCGAUGGUGGGUAGGGUCCAGAUCUCACAUCACCAGUAACAGAAACGCCCUUGUUACUGUGACCAUGAUGCUCUGGGGAAGGACAUGAACACUAGUAAUUAAGUACUGAUAAAUACGUUGUUACCAAAACCACUUCCCUGUUCCCUGAGUUUAAACUUACGAGAAAAGAAAAAUGACUCCAUGGUUCAGCAUCCAACACAGCACCCCAGGGCUGGGUCUCAGGCUGACACCUGAAGAAUGCUGCAAGUCCUAAAAGCAAGUAGGCGUGGCUGCGCCUCUGGAAACAAUCUUCCAGAUUUAAAGGGUUCAUGUCACCGUGGAAACACGGUGAAUCACACAUGAACACAGACACAGGGAUCAGUCAGUACAAUGUGUCUCAGCAGGGAGAUACUUUCUUCCAGGCCCAGGAGCAAUUUAAACUCAAGUAGUCAACUCUAUAAACUAAUGGAAGAGAAAGGAGCUCUAAAGCACCAAAUAAUCCCAGACUAUCUCUUAACAAUACUUUAAAUUUUUCAGGGGCUUCCCUGGUGGUCCAGUGGUUAAGAGUCUGCGCUUCCACUGCAGGGGACACGGGUUUGAUCCCUGGUUGGGGAACUAAGAUCUUGUGUGCCGCGUGGUGCAGUGAGUACGUAAAUAAAUAAUUUGUCACAGCA